UUCAAUAUGGCAGAUUAUUGCAAUGAAUUUAAGACUCAUUCAUGAAUUAUUAUUCUUUUGAAA
rnacentral:tRNA from 1 species